rnacentral:rRNA from 1 species
UACGGAGGGUGCAAGCGUUAUCCGGAUUCACUGGGUUUAAAGGGUGCGUAGGUGGGUCUGUAAGUCAGUGGUGAAAUCCCCGAGCUUAACUUGGGAACUGCCAUUGAUACUAUAGAUCUUGAAUACUGUGGAGGUCAGCGGAAUAUGUCAUGUAGCGGUGAAAUGCUUAGAUAUGACAUAGAACACCAAUUGCGAAGGCAGCUGGCUACACAAAUAUUGACACUGAGGCACGAAAGCGUGGGGAUCAAACAGG